rnacentral:rRNA from 1 species
UAAGUAAGUGGUGGAAAUUAAACCAAAUGGGAUAUCUUUAGUAAUUGCGAAUGAACAAGGAUAUGCUUAGCUUGACAAAUGGAGCUAUUGGCUUUGAAUUGUAUUGUGGAAAUGUAUUACCAACAGAGGUGCAGGUGCCAGCCUAUUGAAAUAAAGCGUCAAUGAGGGUGAGAAUCCUGUUUGUCAUGUGCAGCCCUUUGUGCACGGUGUAUAUUUGCUGAGUCACACUCCUUGGCAUUGGAAUGCAAAGUGGGUGGUAAGUUUCAUGUAAAGGUAAACAUGCAAUUGAGACUGAUAGCACACAAGUACCAUGAGGGAAAUAUGAAAAGGACUUUGAAAAGAGAAUUAAAUGAGUUUGUAUUUGCUGAACACAAAGUAAACAGACUUGAUUUGCUUGGUGGGAGUGUUGCACUUGCUUGACAAGGGCUUUGGGCUGUGGGUGUAAUGAUUCUUUCUUUGCAUGCCAGUUUCUAUUUGUACAUCUGAUUACCUUUGCACAUGAAUGAUAAGUCUCCUGUGGGGGGUGGAUUGCAUGUGCAUGUAAUGAUUUGUGUUUUGAUAAAUGUGUCUGGUGUAUGUGUGUGUUCCUGUGCUUGGGGAUGCUUCCUUCCUUGGACUUACAAGCCCUGACACACACAUGCUGGCAAAAUGCUUCUGCUUGACCCG